CUUCAUGUUUGACAAAAUUUUAACUUCAAUUUAAUUUUCAAAAAAAAAUAUGCUCCAUAAUUUAUUGAAUUGAUACACCAUUUUUUUCGCAGAAAAUAUUGGUUAUUUAUUUUACAUUCAUGUGAGUAAAGUUAAGCAAUGGAUAAUAAUGACCUUGUUAUACUCCAUGAAAACACUGGUAUCUUGUCUUAGAGGCUUUAACAAGGGGUGCUAAAAUUUGUGUAAAAGAAUAAAGCUUUGACUCACUGAGUCAAAAAAAUUCCUCAUUUUAAUUCCAGAGUUCUAAUUUCAAAUACAUUUUAAAAAUUUCAUUGAGUGAAGGGGAGGUAACUCAUGAAAUGAAAAUACAAAUUUGAAAGAAUUUAAACUACAUGUAUAUGAUCCAAUAUUGUGAUAUACAUUUGUAAAGUAAGACACAGGGACCAUGCUCAGAGAGUUCAUUUGUGUAUAUUUUUUUUACAUUAGGGAAGUUGAGUCAGUAGAGUGUGUGGAUACAGGCAUUUUGAAGAGGGGGUUUCAAACCCUGGAACACCAUGAAACGUUCACAUGUUAAAAAAAGAAGAGAAACAAAAUAAUUUAAAUGCAGUAUUAAACUAUUUUUUUAAAUAUAACUUUUGAUGAUUUCAAAAUGCAGUAUACACCCAG
rnacentral:lncRNA from 1 species